rnacentral:rRNA from 1 species
GAUGAACGCUAGCGGCAGGCUUAAUACAUGCAAGUCGAGGGGCAGCAUAAGUAGCAAUACUUGAUGGCGACCGGCAAACGGGUGCGGAACACGUACGCAACCUUCCUUUAAGUGGGGAAUAGCCCGGGGAAACCCGGAUUAAUACCCCGUAAUAUUAUGAUGUGGCAUCACAUUAUAAUUAUAGAUUCAUCGCUUAAAGAUGGGCGUGCGCCUGAUUAGGUAGUUGGCGGAGUAAUAGCCCACCAAGCCUGCGAUCAGUAACUGGUGUGAGAGCACGACCAGUCACACGGGCACUGAGACACGGG